rnacentral:sRNA from 1 species
GCCAGGUGCAAUGGCACACGCCUGUAAUCCCAGUGACUCGGGAGGCUGAGGCAGGAGGAUCAUAAAUUAGAGGUCACCUCAGCAACUUAGUGAGACCCUGUCUCAA